rnacentral:misc_RNA from 1 species
UUUUUCUUCAGUUUCUUCUUCCGAUUUUUUUCUCAAAGUAAAAAGGCACAAAUCUUCCCCAAUUUUCCUCCGGCGAAAUUGAAACUCCGACCACCGCCGAUCCUCCGUUGACUCUGUUUCGACGGUGAAGAUGAACCAAAGUCAAGGUCAACAAACAAGUGAAGGAAGACACGAGGAUGAUGCUGUUCUAGCCGAUUUCCUUGCUUCCUUGAUGGACUAUACUCCCACUAUUCCUGAUGAAUUGGUGGAGCAUUACUUGGGUAAAAGUGGA